rnacentral:rRNA from 1 species
UACGUAGGGGGCAAGCGUUGUCCGGAUUUAUUGGGCGUAAAGAGCGUGUAGGCGGCCAUACAGGUCAGCUGUGAAAACUCGAGGCUCAACCUCCGAGACGUCGGUUGAAACCGUAUGGCUAGAGUCCGGAAGAGGAGAGUGGAAUUCCCGGUGUAGCGGUGAAAUGCGCAGAUAGUCAGGAGGAACACCGUGGUGUAAACGGCUUUCUGGAC